UGUGUUCAGAGAAAGUAGUCUAUUGAUGUGUCAUGUGUAGAAUUUUACCACAAACAGAGUGUUCUAGAUGAAAGUAGUCUAUUAUGUGUCUAUGUGCAUUUUACCACAAACAGCAUGUGUUUCAGAGGAAGUAGUCUAUUAUGUGUCUUUGUAGCAUUUUACCACAAACAGCCAUGUGUUCAGAGAAAGUAGUCUAUUAUGUGGUCUAUGUAGGAUUUCCCACACAAACAGCAUGUGUUCAAGAAAGUAGUCCUAUUAUGUGUCUGUGUAGCAUUUUACACACACAGCAUGUGUUCAGAGAAAGUAGUCUAUUAUGUGUCUAUGUAGCAUUUCCCACAAACAGCAUUGUUUCAGAGAAAGUAGUCUAUUAUGUGUCUGUGUAGCAUUUUACCAAACAGCAUGUGUUCAGAGAAAAUAGUCUAUUAUGUGUCUGUGUAGCAUUUUACCACAAACAGCAUGUGUUCAGAGAAAGUAGUCUAUUAUGUGUUUGUGCAAGCUCAAGUUUGGAAGCAAAAUAAACCAGUAAUAACUAAUUAUUUAUACCUAUUGUACACUCAGUAGUAAAUACAGUCAAUGUUAAGUCUAACUCAGUCAAUCGCAAUCCCCCUGUAUUAGCCAUCCCUGAUGAUAUUGAUAUCAGUCACAGUUGCAAAGGCUUUCAUGUAUUUCGUCAUGGAACACGAAUAUGAGUCUUCUUGAGGUAUAUUAUAAAGUGUAUAGGAUAUGGCUGUUUGGUUAU
rnacentral:lncRNA from 1 species